UGGGGAAUUUUUGGACAAUGGGCGAAAGCCUGAUCCAGCAAUGCCGCGUGUGUGAAGAAGGCCUUCGGGUUGUAAAGCACUUUUGUCCGGAAAGAAAUCCUUGGCUCUAAUACAGUCGGGGGAUGACGGUACCGGAAGAAUAAGCACCGGCUAACUACGUGCCAGCAGCCGCGGUAAUACGUAGGGUGCAAGCGUUAAUCGGAAUUACUGGGCGUAAAGCGUGCGCAGGCGGUUUGCUAAGACCGAUGUGAAAUCCCCGGGCUCAACCUGGGAACUGCAUUGGUGACUGGCAGGCUAGAGUAUGGCAGAGGGGGGUAGAAUUCCACGUGUAGCAGUGAAAUGCGUAGAGAUGUGGAGGAAUACCGAUGGCGAAGGCAGCCCCCUGGGCCAAUACUGACGCUCAUGCACGAAAACGUGGGGGAGCAAACAGGAUUAGAUACCCUGGUAGUCCACGCCCUAAACGAUGUCAACUAGUUGUUGGGGAUUCAUUUCCUUAGUAACGUAGCUAACGCGUGAAGUUGACCGCCUGGGGGAGUACGGUCGCAAGAUUAAAACUCAAAGGAAUUGACGGGGUC
rnacentral:rRNA from 1 species